UACGGGGGGGGCAAGCGUUGUUCGGAAUUACUGGGCGUAAAGGGUUCGUAGGUGGCCAACUAAGUCGGACGUGAAAUCCCUCAGCUUAACUGGGGAACUGCGUCUGAUACUGGUUGGCUUGAGUGCAGGAGAGGAACGCGGAAUUCCAGGUGUAGCGGUGAAAUGCGUAGAUAUCUGGAGGAACACCGGUGGCGAAGGCGGCGUUCUGGACUGCAACUGACACUGAGGCACGAAAGCUAGGGGAGCAAACAGG
rnacentral:rRNA from 1 species